UAGCUGGAGCUCGGACGCGAGUU
rnacentral:snRNA from 1 species